UCAUUUUAACAAAGGAUUAAGAACUCCAAAAACCUUCACAAAUAUAUUGGUCUGCUUAUUUCUUUGCAUCCUGCCAGGGUGCUGAUGUUUCCAUUGGUUAAUAACUCAAGAAAAGAAUUCAACUUCUCCUGUUGAGUACGAACUUUAGCGGGGAUUACUACCAUUAUACACUUGUGACGUUGAGGCAGGAGGAGGCAGCACAACAUGAAGCUUUGGCUUGUUCUUGUUAGUCGAAUUACCUUGUGCGAAUCAAAAUGGCAUGAAAGCAACUAUCGUUAAUUGGACUAAGUAAGUUCUCUACACAUGCUUCUUUAUGAUAUAUUUGAAACUUUAUAUGAAUAAAUGAUACUAUUUUUCAUCUUUUCGUACUUUUUUGUUCCAAGAACAUUGUUACUAACUUUGGCUCCAAUUUAAAUUAAAAAGAGGUUGUCAAUAGGUUCAUCUGAACAUGACGAUUGACACCCAGCCAAUCAAACUCCACACUACAAACUUCUAAUAAUGUUCCACCUACCAUUUGUUACGUUUAUGUCCAAAAAACGUGUAGAGAAAAAGAAACAAAAGAAGAAACUGUCAGUUAUAUUUUAACUAUGGUCUGGACAAGUAACUGAACUUGAGGAGCGUCCCAACUUCUGGAGGGUAAGAAGUUUGAUUCAGUUGGCAUUGUCAAAUACUUAUCGCAGCAUCGGCAGAAUAGUACAUAUAGCCAAAGUUCAUUUUUCGUUGAUACAUUCAAAACGAACUCAUGGUGCAAUCACCUCGAGUUUCCCAAACCAGGAGGUGCUACCACCAACUGCAAUAACUUGUGAUUUCCUCGCUUUGAAAUAUGUUCAAUACUGAGCAUAGAAGAUGUCACACAGAAGACUUCUCAUGUAUCUUGGGUUCUUCAGGUGGCUGGUAACUUUCAAGGUGCUAAAUCUUCUGCAAAACACUGUUGAAUGGCUCUUGUAAAAAUUGCAGAGGAAUGAAGAUCACUUCCUGAUUGCAGUAAAGGUUGGGAGUACAAAUAGUCAUACAUGUCACUGGUGGGAAAAGAGUUACCCUAUUGUAGAAACUUCAGACAACAUAGACAUUCAGAUCACUUCCUGUUUGCAGUAAAGGUUGGGAGUACAAAUAGUCAGACAUGUCACUGGUGGGAAAAGAGUUACCCUAUUGUAGAAACUUCAGACAACAUAGACAUUCGAAAAAGCUAGAAUAAGUACAUGUCUUGGAAUUGUAUCUUAGCAUUAGAAAAGGUCAUACAGAAAACUUCCAUGUAUCCUGGGUUCUUGAGGUAGUCGGUAACUUCCAAGGUACUAAA
rnacentral:lncRNA from 1 species